AAAAGUUGAAGUAGCUGAGGAAAUCUGGGUCUUGCAAGGAUAGUGUAAACUCAGAGUAAAAGCUAAGGUGAAAAAAAGUAGAGGGCAUGGGGAAAGAGA